GAUAAGGUUUUAUGUAACCUCACAUCUCUCUCUUCUUUAUUUCUAUUUAACUUGUCCAUAUUUGAAACUCACUGAUUCGACUAAUUUGAAUUUUUGCAUGCAGCGUAGGCUCGAGAUGAGAGCAAAGCACCUACCGUCAAGAAGUUUUUUACUUAUUCACACAGAUUGAUCUCGAGAUAUCUGAUUAAACUAAAGAGAUCUCAAUCAUUUCGCCGCAACCUUUGAAUCGAGUAUAGGCUCGAUAUGAGAGUAAAAAGCACCUACCGUCAAGAAGUUUUCUACUAAUUCACAUAGAUCUAUCCCGAGAUAUCUGAUUAAACUGAAGAGAUCUCAACCAUUUCACCGUACUCCUUUGAAUAAAGGUGUAAUAAAACUAGUAAAGGGACUUACAACAUGUCUUCUUAGCGGACGAACCAUCUGCAGUAAUUUGACCGGAAGUGGAUCAUCUGGAGUAGUUUGGCUAGAAGCGGAUCAUCUGCAGCAAUUCGACUCGAAUUACCAGUCGUUGGGAAUCCUCACGUGGCGGAUGGGUCCUUUAUUUUCACAACCUAAUUUACCUUCGAUUUGGAUGCAAAGAACUAAUCCUAGCAACCCUCUCUUAUGAAUAAGUGAGUCUCCUAACACCCAUAGUGAUAUUUAAAUGGGGCUGACUAAUUAUUAAUUAGUAGCACCCUUAUGGAUGUACUAGGCCCAAAAAAUUAAUUUUAAUUAAUAAUAGGAAAAGCCAAAAUAGGUAUCUUUUUACUACUGAAAAUUUUAUAUGUAUCAUCAUCAAGAUUCCUAGAGGUCA